UGGGGAAUAUUGGACAAUGGGCGAAAGCCUGAUCCAGCCAUGCCGCGUGUGUGAAGAAGGUCUUCGGAUUGUAAAGCACUUUAAGUUGGGAGGAAGGGCAGUAAGCUAAUACCUUGCUGUUUUGACGUUACCGACAGAAUAAGCACCGGCUAACUCUGUGCCAGCAGCCGCGGUAAUACAGAGGGUGCAAGCGUUAAUCGGAAUUACUGGGCGUAAAGCGCGCGUAGGUGGUUCGUUAAGUUGGAUGUGAAAGCCCCGGGCUCAACCUGGGAACUGCAUCCAAAACUGGCGAGCUAGAGUACGGUAGAGGGUGGUGGAAUUUCCUGUGUAGCGGUGAAAUGCGUAGGUAUAGGAAGGAACACCAGUGGCGAAGGCGACCACCUGGACUGAUACUGACACUGAGGUGCGAAAGCGUGGGGAGCAAACAGG
rnacentral:rRNA from 1 species